GGUCCGAUGCCACGUCGCCGGUAGCUGUAAAUGGCGGUGACCGGCGAUGCUAUGAUUGGACCGAGAGUGAUUCCAUGUUUCGUAUGCUGAUAGGAAUCUGUGGAUCUGAUACCGUUGGUCUAUGGAGCCGAUUUAUACGAUUACAUUU